rnacentral:tRNA from 1 species
GGAGAGAUGGCUCAGUGGCUAAGAGCCCUGGCUUCUUACCCAGGCAAUCUGGGUUCUAUUCCCAUUUUCCACA